rnacentral:rRNA from 1 species
GAUGAACGCUGGCGGCGUGCUUAAUACAUGCAAGUCGAACGAAGCACCUUGGACAGAAUCCUUCGGGAGGAAGACCAUUGUGACUGAGUGGCGGACGGGUGAGUAACGCGUGGGUAACCUGCCUUGUACAGGGGGAUAACAGUUGGAAACGACUGCUAAUACCGCAUAAGCGCACAGUACCGCAUGGUACGGUGUGAAAAACUCCGGUGGUACAAGAUGGACCCGCGUCUGAUUAGCUAGUUGGUGAGGUAACGGCCCACCAAGGCGACGAUCAGUAGCCGACUUGAGAGAGUGAUCGGCCACAUUGGGACUGAGACACGGCCCAAACUCCUACGGGAGGCAGCAGUAGGGAAUAUUGCACAAUGGGGGAAACCCUGAUGCAGCGACGCCGCGUGAAGGAAGAAGUAUUUCGGUAUGUAAACUUCUAUCAGCAAGGAAGAAAAUGACGGUACUUG